CAACUCUCAACAACGGAUAUCUUGGCUCUCGCAACGAUGAAGAACGCAGCGAAAUGCGAUACGUAAUGUGAAUUGCASAAUUCCGUGAACCAUCGAAUCUUUGAACGCAUAUUGCGCUCGAGGCUUCGGCCAAGAGCAUGUCUGCCUCAGCGUCGUUUUGACCCCUCACUCCCAUACCUUUUUGGUAUCAUGCAUCAGGCUUUGCUUGAUGUUGGGGGUGGAUCUGGCUUCCCCAGAGCUUGCUCUGGGUUGGCUGAAGUGCAGAGGCUAGAGCACGGACCCAUAUGGGUGUCAACUGGAUAGGUAGACUCCACGUUAGUGGACUACACGAAGUUGUCGCCUGGGAUACGUGUUGGCAGCCAAACAGGAAACUUCUCUCACUUCGACCUGAGCUCAGGCAAGAUUACCCGCUGAACUUAAGCAUAUCAAUAAGCGGUGGAA
rnacentral:rRNA from 1 species